rnacentral:rRNA from 1 species
AAAAUAAUGCUGGGGUACGAUGCGGAGCGAAAUUUAGUAGCGAAGUAGCUGAUUUCACACUGUCGAGAAAAGUCUCUAUCGAGGUUAAAGGUGCCUGUACCGCAAACCGACACAGGUGGGUGAGGAGAGUAUCCUAAGGCCAGCGAGAGAACUGUUGUUAAGGAACUCGGCAAAAUGACCCCGUAACUUCGGGAGAAGGGGUGCCUUCGAAAGAAGGCCGCAGAGAAUAGGCCCAAGCGACUGUUUACCAAAAACAUAGGUUUCUGCUAAGUCGCAAGACGAUGUAUAGGAGCUGACGCCUGCCCGGUGCUGGAAGGUUAAGGGGAUCUGUUAGAGCAAUCGAAGCAGUGAACUUAAGCCCCAGUAAACGGCGGCCGUAACUAUAACGGUCCUAAGGUAGCGAAAUUCCUUGUCGGGUAAGUUCCGACCCGCACGAAAGGCGUAACGAUUUGGGCACUGUCUCAACAACAGACUCGGUGAAAUUGUAAUACCGGUGAAGAUGCCGGUUACCUGCGACAGGACGGAAAGACCCCAUGGAGCUUUACUGUAGCUUGACAUUGAGUCUCGGUGCUACAUGUACAGGAUAGGUGGGAGACUAUGAAGCAUGGACGUCAGUCUGUGUGGAGUCAUCCUUGGGAUACCACCCUUGUAGUACUGGGAUUCUAACCAGAGGCCAUGAAUCUGGUCUUGGGACACUGUCAGGUGGACAGUUUGACUGGGGCGGUCGCCUCCCAAAAAGUAACGGAGGCGCUCAAAGGUUCUCUCAGUACGGUCGGAAAUCGUACGAAGAGUGUAAAGGCAAAAGAGAGCUUGAUUGCAAGACAUACAGGUCGAGCAAGGACGAAAGUCGGACUUAGUGAUCCGGUGGUUCCGCAUGGAAGGGCCAUCGCUCAACGGAUAAAAGCUACCCUGGGGAUAACAGGCUGAUCUCCCCCAAGAGUCCACAUCGACGGGGAGGUUUGGCACCUCGAUGUCGGCUCAUCACAUCCUGGGGCUGUGGUAGGUCCCAAGGGUUGGGCUGUUCGCCCAUUAAAGUGGUACGCGAGCUGGGUUCAGAACGUCGUGAGACAGUUCGGCCCCUAUCCGUCGCAGGCGUAGGAAAUUUGAGGAGACCUGUCCUUAGUACGAGAGGACCGGGAUGGACGUACCGCUGGUGUACCAGUUGUUCUGCCAAGGGCAUGGCUGGGUAGCUAAGUACGGAAAGGAUAAGCGCUGAAAGCAUCUAAGCGCGAAGCCCACUUCAAGAUAAGAUUUCCCACCGCAAGGUUAAGAUCCCAGGAAGACUACCUGGUUGAUAGGUCAGAGGUGUAAGUGCAGUAAUGUAUUUAGCUUACUGAUACUAAUAGAUCGAGGACUUGACC